GUCCACUCAUCUGACUGCAAAUUCAAAUAAUAUAAAGUUUAAUAAUCCAGUUGGAAUUGGAGUUUUUCCUUAGCUUCAGAGUAUAGGGCCAGGCCCUAGAGGCUGGGGCAGAGGGUUUUCCCACUUCCGUCUCCUCUAUAUCAGUCCAGUUUUGUAUACUUCAGAAUCUUAGCAGUAGAUAGAAAGCAAACAAGAACAGGUCUAAUCUUCAGAAGUGACUGGGCCUGAAUCUUCCAGUUGAACCAAGAAGAGCAUGCCACUCCUGACUGGGCUGACCAUGCUCCUUCCUCCUCCAACACCCGGAAGCCAGUCCCACAUGGCAAGAAGGAAGUGCUAGUCACAAGACCCAACUGCCACUCCCAGUUGGGCCCUUCCCCCACAAACUGUCAGUCUUGUUUCCUUUCCACAAUAUAAAAGAUGUACAUAUACAUGGAACAUAUGACUUGGACUUUGUAAGAGGAAUAAUUCUACAGGAGACAGCCCUAAAGUUUACAAUGGAAGGCUCAGCACUCAAUCGACUGUGAGAGCAGCUCUCUGUACAUUGAAAAGCACCAAAGCUUAGUGGGAAGUUCAUGAAGAUAAUACAAAGCCUGAAAGGGUAGCCAUCAUCUGCCAAUAUGAGUACAAGUUGGGGGAAUAAGCCUCCAAGGUAUAUUACACUGGUUUUAAGAAAACUGUACAUCCAUGGAAAUUUGGAGGAAAACACUUGACUAAUUCAGGAAAAUUCACAAAAUAAUGUUUACAUAUGUUAUUUCAUUUUGUAUUUUUGUAUUAUUUUAUAUUUU
rnacentral:lncRNA from 1 species